GCCAGGUGUGGCGCGGGAGCGCCCGAGGUCCCAGCUACUCGACAGGCGGAGGUGGGAGGUCACUUGAGCCCAGGAGUCCUGCCCGUGGUGUGCUGUGCCAAUCAGGUGUCUGCGAUGAGUUUGGCUUCAAUAUGGUGACCUCCCAGGAGUGGGGGCCACUGGGUUGCCUCAGAAGGGGUGGACGGGCCCAGGUCAGAAACAGCAGGCCAAAACGCCUGUGCUGAUGAGUAGUGGAGUCGUGCCUGUGAAUAGUCAGUGCACUCCAGCCUGGGCAACAUAGCAAGACUCCGUCUCU
rnacentral:SRP_RNA from 1 species